rnacentral:tRNA from 1 species
GCCUACAUAGCUCAGAAGGUAGAGCACUUCCUUGGUAAGGAAGAGGUCACCGGUUCGAGUCCGGUUGUAGGCU